CGGAGUAUGACGCUAACAUGGGGAAGGGAUGGAAAAGGAUGCUGUUGCAGAGGAGAUGAAUGAAAUCAAUGGAGUGACCUGGUGGAACAAGGCAGGCAAAGGUCCUCAGAGAGCAAAACGGAACUGUGUAUGUUGAGGACUUGGAAAAGAGGUGCUACGUGAAGAGGUCUUGGGGUUUUUCCAGGACUACUAUGGUGAACAAUGCAUAUCAAAGGCUUGAACGUUGCAGCAGUUAACACAGAUAAAAUAGAAAACAAGUACUGCAGAACCUACGCUCUCUGGAGCCCCGCUUUCAGGUUGCAUUUGUUGCAAGGAACAGGCUGGAGGAAGGUGAUGGCUGGAGAAGAGCUGAGCUGACAGACCUGUGACCACACGAACUCAAAAGGGGAAGCCUGCAGCUGCGCCGCCCAGCACCCAGAGGCUCAGAUCGUGAUGAUAGGAAUACACGCAAAAAAAGCAGAAGAGCAGCAGAGGACCCGCAGCAGCCGGGCCGGGGCCGUGCUCGGCCUAUAAUCAUGCCAUCAUGAGAGAGGAGAACAUGCCAUCGUGAGGAGGAGGGCUUCAGUGCACUGAGCAAAGGGGAUGAAAGGGGCUGCAGAAAAACAAGCAGGAAUGGCAGCCACUCUUUGCAUCUUGGCCUUUGCACCAGCCCCCCAUGGUGAUGCAGUGCGUGGGGCUGCAGCAAGGAGCAGGUGCUCUGUGCUUCUGAUGAGCAUUAUGGAACGCUCCCUCGGAGGCUGGGAGCUGCCAAGGCGUGUGCUGAUAGGACAGAUGUUGUUUCGUUACUGUCACCAUGGCAUCCUGCAUGUUUGAAGGGAACAUGUGUUUGUUAAGGAAAAGCAACUGUUACCAAGACGUUCGCUUCUCUCCUUGCCUUGGUUUGGCUGAAGGGCAAAGACAAAGCUCGAGG
ensembl:lncRNA